rnacentral:rRNA from 1 species
UCCAGGCCCUACGGGGUGCAGCAGGCGCGAAACCUCCGCAAUGUGAGAAAUCGCGACGGGGGGAUCCCAAGUGCCAUUCUUAACGGGAUGGCUUUUCAUUAGUGUAAAGAGCUUUUGGAAUAAGAGCUGGGCAAGACCGGUGCCAGCCGCCGCGGUAACACCGGCAGCUCUAGUGGUAGCAGUUUUUAUUGGGCCUAAAGCGUCCGUAGCCGGUUUAAUAAGUCUCUGGUGAAAUCCUGCAGCUUAACUGUGGGAAUUGCUGGAGAUACUAUUAGACUUGAGAUCGGGAGAGGUUAGAGGUACUCCCAGGGUAGAGGUGAAAUUCUGUAAUCCUGGGAGGACCGCCUGUUGCGAAGGCGUCUGACUGGAACGAUUCUGACGGUGAGGGACGAAAGCUAGGGGCGCGAACCGGAUUAGAUACCCGGGUAGUCCUAGCUGUAAACGAUGCGGACUUGGUGUUGGGGUGGCUUUGAGCUGUCCCAGUGCCGAAGGGAAGCUGUUAAGUCCGCCGCCUGGGAAGUACGGUCGCAAGACUGAAACUUAAAGGAAUUGGCGGGGGAGCGCCACAACGCGUGGAGCCUGCGGUUUAAUUGGAGUCAACGCCGG